UCGCUAUCGCUAGGGACUUGGCUUAAUUUUAUUAACUCGAAGAAAAUAAAUGCCCCGGGACACCGUGGAGCUUCACGCGGAGACAAACUGAAGGAAUAAGCGGGCUGAGUCUCCACUCCUAGGAGGAGGAGCAGCUUCGCAGGGUUCCUUAGCAGUAGCCCACUGGGGAAGGCAGUAGGCCUCGCCCCGCCCUGAGAGUGCAGUUCUCCCGAGUUCGCUGCUCCCCGGGAAGGCCACAAGACGGGAAAGUUCACCGCCUGCACUUCCGAUUGCAUUUUCUUAAUUUUACUGAAAGAUGGAUUUAAAAAAUCAUUUUGGGGCUUUGCGCCAGACCUCCAGGCCAUCCCAACUUCUGAUCCUGAUCCCACACUUCAGUCUCCGCCCCGCCUUACUUGACCAGGAAAUGAGAAGUGCAGCAGCAGCAUCCCUGGCCUAUGGCCUGUCUGGGUGGCUUUGCAGUUUUCUAAGGGUGGUUGGCAGCUGUAGACGAAGAUGCGAUACUUGAUACUUGGGCAAAACGUGGGACUCUAGAGGCAUCUGCCCUGCUCUCUCCAGAGACAGGAUUUUAUUUUAUGGGGCAAAUUUUGGAAAUAAAAGCAUGCAGAAGAUUCUGUGGACCUGGGCAAAAUGCCUCCCUGAGAGUUGCGAGGUUUGUGCUGGAAUUUUGGAGUUUAGGGUGUCACUUCUGCACAAGGGGGGGCUCGCCCCUCAUUUUGCAGCCACUGAUGUCGUCUGUAGAGUAGAGGGGCCGGUGGAGCCCUGAUUACACCCUGCUGAGCUGUAGCUCUUGUUUGCCAGAGGAGUGCACUGCUUAGAAAUCAGUGCUUUCCUAGGUCAGAGUUCCCAUCUUAUCACCUUUUCAUUGACUUUUCCUAAGUCAAAAGCCAUAAAAAUGGUGUUUUUAUUUUCUUUUCCACAUAAUGUUUGAUAGUCAGGGACUUUUAAGAACGCAGUAACUUAAUCCAUCUGAAUUCUCUGAUAAAGGCAUUAGUACUGCGUCUGAGAGUCACAGAUCGGAAGUCAGUGAGGCCCUUAGCUUUUGUGUGUCCAGUUGGACUUUUGGAAGAGAUGCUGAUUUCCCUUUCCUGUGCCUAAAGCCCAGUGUAGAUGGACAAGCCUAAACAUGAUCAGGACUAACCACACUACCACAAUGCUUACCUAGAGCUAUAUAUCAUUGAGCUAUUGUCUGCAGGUGUAAUUCUUAAAAAUGUAAACAGUCUGUUAUAACCUACAUUUUUAUCAGUAAACAUUGACUGAAUGACUGAAAGAAUGAUUAAUUCACAUUUAUCUACUGGAACUUUUUUUUUUUUCCAACAGCGGGCUGUUUUUAACCACUUCCAAGUCCAAAAUUAAAAUAUCUUUCUAAAAUAUGCUUAGAAAACUUAAAAUUCAAUGUUAUAGAAGUGUAUAUACUUGUUUAAUAUUCUCUGGAAUUUGCUAAGCAUUAUUCACAUUAAAUUGUACAUAUCAUAUACAUUUAUUAAUUAUGUGUUAUCUUACUAAGUCAUAAUUCCUUUCUCCAUACUGUAAAGUCAAAUAGGUACUAGCCUUUAAUAAAGACUUUAAAUUCUCUUCAGUUGAUCCAGCUAGUUAGCAAAAAUUAAUUUGAAAAACUGCUUUAUAAAAAUAUUUUUAUAUGACAUCUUACCAUUCAAAGCAGGAAUGCUUAGCUCAGGGCAAUUUUGUUUCCCACCUCUACUUCCCAAGGACAUUUGGCAAUAUCUGAAGACAUUUCUGGUUAUCAACUGGCAUCUAGUAGUGCAGGCCAGAGAUGUUGCUAAUCAUCUUAAUGGAAGAGCCAACCCCUAAAAAACACCAGCAGCAUUUCUGUUAAGAAACUCUGUUUUAAAAGAUCUCAAAGUAAAUAACAAGGCACAUAAAAGCCAUGCUAAAAUUCUCUUUAUUCUGAAGCUGAAGCAUAUUUAGGGGAAACAGUGUUCUUUUGAUUUCACUUUGGGUCUGGGCCUUACUAAUAAAAUUUGCU
ensembl:lncRNA